CAUAGGUUAAUGAGGCGAACCGGGGGAACUGAAACAUCUAAGUACCCCGAGGAAAAGAAAUCAACCGAGAUUCCCCCAGUAGCGGCGAGCGAACGGGGAGGAGCCCAGAGCCUGAAUCAGUGUGUGUGUUAGUGGAAGCGUCUGGAAAGGCGCGCGAUACAGGGUGACAGCCCCGUACACAAAAAUGCACAUACUGUGAGCUCGAUGAGUAGGGCGGGACACGUGGUAUCCUGUCUGAAUAUGGGGGGACCAUCCUCCAAGGCUAAAUACUCCUGACUGACCGAUAGUGAACCAGUACCGUGAGGGAAAGGCGAAAAGAACCCCGGCGAGGGGAGUGAAAAAGAACCUGAAACCGUGUACGUACAAGCAGUGGGAGCACGCUUCGGCGUGUGACUGCGUACCUUUUGUAUAAUGGGUCAGCGACUUAUAUUCUGUAGCAAGGUUAACCGAAUAGGGGAGCCGAAGGGAAACCGAGUCUUAACUGGGCGUUAAGUUGCAGGGUAUAGACCCGAAACCCGGUGAUCUAGCCAUGGGCAGGUUGAAGGUUGGGUAACACUAACUGGAGGACCGAACCGACUAAUGUUGAAAAAUUAGCGGAUGACUUGUGGCUGGGGGUGAAAGGCCAAUCAAACCGGGAGAUAGCUGGUUCUCCCCGAAAGCUAUUUAGGUAGCGCCUCGUGAAUUCAUCUCCGGGGGUAGAGCACU
rnacentral:rRNA from 1 species